GCGGCGGCCGGCCGGGGUCUCGGCGCUGCAGUCGCAGAAGACGAUGCGCCCGUCGUCGUCGCGCCCGGUCACGUCCGGCUCGCCGCCC
rnacentral:tRNA from 1 species